rnacentral:rRNA from 1 species
AGCUGCAGUCGAGAUCUUUCGCAUGGGCGCAAGCCUGACGAAGCGACGCCGUGUGAGUGAAGAAGGUCUUCGGAUUGUAAAGCUCUUUCGCCCGGGAACAAGGGUCUGCAGUGAAUACCUGCAGACCUUGAGCGUACCGGGUAAAGAAGCACCGGCUAACUCC